UAAGUACCCAACAAGUUACACACAACUGAAGAAAAACACUUCAGGUUAUUGAACGCCUUGCUUCCCAGUGAACCAAGUUGAGAAAAUAGUCAUGGCUCAUUAACCCUGACAUACAUACAUAACCGGAACAACUAUUACACAUCAAAGGUUUCGCUGUUGCUUGUAACAUAAUAUGAGAAUGUACACCUCAUUGACGAAAAUGGAACAUUCAAGCUUUGAACUAAUGAGAAUGUACACCUCAUUGACGAAAAUGGAACAUUCAAGCUUUGAACUA
rnacentral:misc_RNA from 1 species